rnacentral:rRNA from 1 species
GAUGAACGCUGGCGGCGUGCCUAAUACAUGCAAGUCGAGCGGACGGACGAUAAGCUUGCGGCUCUGAUGUUAGCGGCGGACGGGUGAGUAACGUGUGUAUAACGUACCUAUAAUACGGGGAUAACUUCGGGAAACCGGAGCUAAUACCGGAGGAUAUUUUGAACCGCAGGGGGCAAAGGUGAAAGACGGUGGUGCGGGCACUUAUAGAUGGAUCCGCGCUUGAUUAGCUAGUUGGGAAGGUAAAGGCUUACCAAGGGAACGAGGCAUAGCCGAGCGGAGAGGGUGGUCGGCCACCCUGGAACUGAGACACGGUCCAGACUCCUACGGGAGGCAGCAGUCGGGAACCUUCCGCAAUGGGGGAAAACCUUACGGAGCAACGCCGCGUGAGUGAUGAAGGUCUUCGGAUCGUAAAACUCUGUUAUUAGGGAAGAACAUCUGUGUACGUAAAUGUGCACAUCUUGACGGUACCUAAUCAGAAAGCAACGGCUAACUACGUG